rnacentral:lncRNA from 1 species
UGGUCAGUUUUCCGCGUCGUUGACAGAAAAGGGGCUGGCUGAAACGGAGGAAUCUACUUAGAAAAACUCGGCACUGACAUACUGCCCAGUGCGGGUGACAGCUACGGUACAGUCAGACAAGGAAGGAGUGCAGCAGCCCCCACCCUUUUCGUCUCAGUUGCCAUCUUUCAAGGCUUUUAAGAUUUACAACAUUACGUAAUUACACACUUGCAAGAGUUCAAGCCGUAUCAUUGUCCCAUUGCAGCCUGUAAUGGAGUGUCCUCUAAAAGUGAGAGAAGCGCCUUUUCGCCGGCUGAAGUUGAAGACACGGUAAAAUAACUGAAAAAAGACAAAGAACAUGGCGAAUUCGUUCGAGCAGAAGAUAACAUCUGUUCUUUGCAGACUAUCUGAGGCAAUUUAAACGAGAAGCAAUAAUCCUUCCUGAUGUUUGACUUCGUCUGGUAACGUAGCAAUGUCAACAAGAGGUGGUGAACGCAAAGUCACUGACUCCGCUGAAGUUUCUGACAGUUUUCUGAAAGUUCGUCUGCGAAAGCUACAGAUGGGAUCUUGGAGUAAAUUUGCAACCAGCAGCAGUUUGAUAUCUGUACUAUGAGAGGCAGAGGAAGAAGUGGAUGAAGAGAGAGAGAGACUGAGAGGAGAGAGAGAGAGAGAGAGAGACGAAGUGGGGGACAAAAGAGAGGUAAGGAAAUACGGAGCGAAGAUGCACCCAAAGGAACAAAGAAAGCAAGAGAGGGAGGUGGAGAGGAGGUGAUCUGUCUCUGUCCCGGCUGUGGUUUCGGGCCUAUUUGUGACCAGUGAAAAGAUCCGUGGGCUAGACUGAGGACAGUCUGUCCUUCUCUGUCUCUCUUCCCUCGGCCUGGAUGGUAGAGGCCAGACACUGGAGCUCACGCUAGCCUCUCUGCGAUGGCCGCCAGUGGUUUACACAACUCCAGAACCCUGCUGAAGGGAAGGAGAGGGAGAGAGAGAGAGAAAGAGAGGGAGGAGUGCAGAGGGGAGGAGAGAGGGAUAGUGUAAGAUGAGGAGGGGUCGGAG